UGCUCUAGAGCUAAUACAUGCACCAAAGCUCCAAUCUCCCCAGAGCGGAGCGCAUUUGUUCGCCACAAACCCAAGCGCCUUCGGGCGUCCAGUGUCUGACUCAGAACAACUAAGCUGAUCGCACGGAUCUUGUUCCGGCGACGUGUCUUUCAAGUGUCUGCCUUAUCAACUUUCGAUGGCAGUGUACCUGACUACCAUGGUGAUGACGGGUAACGGAGGAUAGGGUUCGACUCCGGAGAAGGGGCCUGAGAAAUGGCCACUACGUCUAAGGAUGGCAGCAGGCGCGCAAAUUACCCACCCUCAACAUGAGGAGGUAGUGACGAGAAAUAACGAGACCGAUCUCUUAUGAGGCCGGUCAUCGGAAUGGGUACAAUUUAAACCCUUUAACGAGUAUCUAUGAGAGGGCAAGUUUGGUGCCAGCAGCCGCGGUAAUUCCAGCUCUCAAAAUGCAUAGAAUUAUUGCUGCGGUUAAAAAGCUCGUAGUUGGACCUGUGCUAGCCGGCCGGUCCACCCACUGGGUGUGCACUGGUUCGGUUGGCUUUUCUGCCGGUCUUUCCCCGGCGUUGGCCUUCACCGGUCGGCGUCGGUGGGCUGGCGAGUUUACUUUGAACAAAUCAGAGUGCUUCAAACAGGCGUUUCGCUUGAAUGUUCGUGCAAGGAAUAAUAGAAGAGGAUUUCGGUCCGAUUUUAUUGGUUUUGCUGACCGAGAUAAGGUUAACAGAGACAAACGGGGCCAUUCGUAUUGCUACGUGAGAGGUGAAAUUCUUGGACCGUAGCAGACGGACUAC
rnacentral:rRNA from 1 species